AGCUCCGCGACCGCCCGUGGCCACACCAGUCGGGGACUUCGUGCUUUACGAUGGGGGCGCAGCGGUCUGGCACGCGCAGGACCCCGGGCCUUGCACCCCAACGCUGGCCGCCCUGGACCCGCGGCGGGGACCCGCGCAGUCAGGGUACCUGCCCAUACCGAUGGGGUGGGGACCAGCACGGAGACUUUCCUUCACCCCGCGGCUUCUGUUCCUUUCAGGACGGACAGCGCCCACCCGGAGGAAAGCCUGACAGAUGAGACUUCGCAAGGAACCUGCCAGUUCAGGGAGGCCCACCUUUCUAGAAGGUUAACAGGAACUUCCAGCCUCCAGCCUACUUAGUGACCAGCUGCUGGAGGACAGUGAGUGGCCCCUGCUGUCCGCAUCUCCACAGGGGUCACCAAGCGCACUCACAGGGUCCCCCUCCACCUGGAGCAGAGAAUUCGGAGGAGCCCGUCUUGCUGUCUUUUCUGAUGUUGUUAAACUAUGCUUGGGCCUGUCCUUUGCUGAAAGGAGCUUUCUACACAGCUGGACUUCUGAGGUGGGACCUGCCACGUGCUAACUCUGGCACUCGGAGCGGUCUCUGCCACUGGCAAUGUCCUGUCCUGAACAUUUCCAGUGUGGCCUCUCUCCUGAAAGGCCUGUGUGCGACUUCUUUGUGAAGCCGGAAGAAAGUUCUGGGACUUCCCCUUCUCCUUUGGUGCAAAGUUACACUAACUGUCAUGAUGUUGUUGAUUUCCUUUUUUUUUUUUUUUUUUUUGAGAGUCUCACUCUGUUGCCUAGACUGGAGUGCAAUGGCGUGAUCUCGGCUCACUACAGCCUCCGCCUCCUGGGUUCAAGUGAUUCUCCUGCCUCAGCCUCCCAAGUAGCUGGGAUUACAGGCGUGAGCCACCGUGCCCGGCCUUGAUUUCCUUCUUAAGCAGAGCUGAGUCUCUGUCUCUGUCCACACCAGUGCCUCCUGGGCCUUCCUGAGCACGUGUGGCUGGCAUCGCUUCCCAUCUCUGCUCCCUGUGGCAUCUUGCUGUGUCCCCGGCACCUCUGCAAAGCACAG
rnacentral:lncRNA from 1 species